UAGGGAAUCUUCGGCAAUGGGGGCAACCCUGACCGAGCAACGCCGCGUGAGUGAAGAAGGUUUUCGGAUCGUAAAGCUCUGUUGUAAGAGAAGAACGUGUGUGAGAGUGGAAAGUUCACACAGUGACGGUAACUUAUCAGAAAGGGACGGCUAACUACGUGCCAGCAGCCGCGGUAAUACGUAGGUCCCGAGCGUUGUCCGGAUUUAUUGGGCGUAAAGCGAGCGCAGGCGGUUUAAUAAGUCUGAAGUUAAAGGCAGUGGCUUAACCAUUGUUCGCUUUGGAAACUGUUAAACUUGAGUGCAGAAGGGGAGAGUGGAAUUCCAUGUGUAGCGGUGAAAUGCGUAGAUAUAUGGAGGAACACCGGUGGCGAAAGCGGCUCUCUGGUCUGUAACUGACGCUGAGGCUCGAAAGCGUGGGGAGCAAACAGG
rnacentral:rRNA from 1 species